rnacentral:piRNA from 1 species
UUGCCAGAAGAGAGACCAGGGCAGGAUGAGC